rnacentral:lncRNA from 1 species
AUGUUAUUUCAAAGAAAAAAAAAAAAAAAAACUAACUUCCAGAUCUCCAAAGCUCCACGCGCUAUUUCUGUAACAGCCAAGUCUAUAAGCGCGCCAAGGGACUGCAGGUACUGGGUUGCACUUGAGGAAGUGUCCGGAGUUGGCGGAAACAACCCAUCCACUCAGGCUCCCAGAGGCGCUGGGCUGCAGCGGCUUAGCUCAGACACACACAAGGAUUUGAGGCUUUCUAGAAAACGGCGUGGCCGAGGCCUCAGGCUGGGGCUCGAUGCGCGCCGACCGAGACCGACCCGCUCUCCCGCCCCGACGCAGAAGGGAGGCGAGGCUGCGGUCGGGGCGCACGGGCUGGGUGUGCACUCGCCUGUCCCCCUCGGCCCCGGCCCAGGGAGCGCGGGGCCCCGACUACGGAACGGCUCCAGGUUGGCUGUCCCUAGAGUUUCAGAGUUGGAGGGUGGAGGGGUGAGUGCUGGCGCCGGGACAGAGCAAAUCCCCAAGGAAGGGAAGGAAGGGAAGCGAAGCGAAGCGAACGGGAGGAGAGGCUGCACAGCCGUCGGCACGGACAUAGCGCGCGCUGGCUCCCCAAGUCCGGUGUGGGCGCAGCCCCCCGGCGCCCCGGACACACCCACUGCGCCCCGCCGCCCGCGCCAUCGUGUCCCGAGGUCCAGAGCGGGCCCGAGAGGAGGGCAGCUGCCCGGCCGGGUCGGGGCGGCGCGGGCGGGGCGCAAGGGGAGCAGUGGGCGCGCGGCGCGGGCGGCUCUGCUCACCUGGCGGUCCGCGUCCCGGAUCGGCCGGCGGCCGCCUCGCCUAGCCCCCGCGUGCUUCCCGGCGCCGGGCAGCCCCGAGCACGCCGCAUGGACGGCUGCCGCCGCCGCCCCGCGCCUGCCCUGCACGGGCUCCCGCUGCGCCCCGGUUCGGCGUCGGGCUGAGCGGGCGGCCAGCGGCUCGGGUGCGCGCGGAAAGCUGUGGCUCGGAGUUUGCGAUCGGGAGAACCGGGAUCCGCGCUCCUUCGGUCCCUCCUCCCUCCCCCACUCGCGGCCUCCCGCUGUCAUCUGGAGCCGCUCCUGUCGCCCCCUGGCGGCCGCCUCGGGAAGGACCGGCCCCCGAUCCACCCCUGCGACCCCAUAG